UCCCCCUGAAAUGGGCAAAGAGAUACCUUGCUGGUGGAGUUGUUCUUCUAUCAGUCAGGGCAGAGCAGAUGGCAGACCAUUGUUCAUCCUAGCUUGAUGCUUGGCUUGGUGAACAAAGCUGUCUUAUGCCUAGGACUCAUAA